GCCACAUAAAGGAAGAGCAGUGACUCUCGAGAGCUGGCAUCCCAGGGUGACUUCACCAUGGGCUGUCAUCGCUGAGGCCAUAAAAAGCCAAAAGCACUACCCUUGAGUCAUCCUAGCCCCUUGGAGCCAAAAACGUAGCAACGUCACGUCUGUAGUUGACCUCGGUUCCGGGCACCUUCCUGAGCAUUCUUCGGGAGGCACUUGUGAAACUCAGCCCAGGUGCUGCCCAGGAUCAGGAGGCUGAGACGUGAUCUGGAAGUGAGUGCCCAUCCAUACACCUUCCCCAGCUUUGGGGCCACAGAGGGACAGAAACCGCAGGCAGGCUGGCCUGGGAAUGAACCUACACCAGCCUGAAGUCAGAAGAGCCUCUAGGAGCCUCCAGCCUGGACUCUUUUUACAGAUGGGGAAACUGAGUCCCAGAGAGGGAGCAAUGAAGGAUGUCUAAGGUCAUCAGCAACGUAAAGCCAACAGCAUCAUCCUGAGUCAUGUUUGAACCUGAGGGAAAGAAACAUAUGUUCGAAGAGGUUCUGAGGCUGCUGCACCCGAUAUCAUACCUGGUUGGCCCUGGGAAAGGGCCCACCUCCAAUACAUAAACACAACCAGCUUUGACAGGGACUCUGAUUACACUGGACCUAUCCAAGAUCUGAGAUCAUCAACUCAUCUCAAAAUCCUUAAGCUGACCACAGCAGCAUCGUCCCUUUUGCAGUGUAAGGGAGCCCAGCUGGGACAAUGUGUGAAUCAACGCAUGAAGGAGUGAGUGAGCAGCUAACCAAAUGAAAGAAUACUCAGAUAUCUGGGGUACAGUUCCCCUCCAGGUUUGCACAGCAUCUGCUGAAGUCUCCACUAGAAACUCAAUGGAAGGUCCCCACCGGAAACUGAAAGUCUCCUAGAGUGGCUUUGAGUUGCGGUUUCACCCUCCCUGCAGAUCCACAGGGGAGGCUGGGGCAGAUGGAAAAUACCAACUUGAUGGUCUGUGGCCACACCAUGCUGCUCCCCAAGGCCCCUCAGAAUUUCACUGCCCAAUAUGGUAGCGCCCAGCCUGAAACGUGGCCAGUGUGAAUUGAGAUGGGCUGGAAAUGCACCAGACUUCCAAGAGCUGGACAAAAACCAUAUACUUUCCAUCCAGCUGUUUGGCAUUGGAUACUGCUGCCUCUGCUUGACUUGAGAAUGUGUGAGAAAAGCUGUGUUUAGACAACUGAAAACCAUGAGCUUGAAAGUAGUGGGGGCACACUCUUGGAGACUCCAGUUGCUCACCAGCUUGGACAAACCACUGGACUCAAAUGAUCAGAGAAGGAACACAGGCUCAGACAUCAGUGCCAUAUCUGAAGACAUUCAGCUAAUAACAGGAUGGAGUCCAAUCUGAAACAACUGUCACGCUGAGCCUAAUUGCUGAAGAUGGUUGAAGGCACCAGGAGGCUGGAGUUUCCUGGAGGUGGUUUGUGGCCAACCGUCAAUUACUUGGGCUGCUGUGCAGUGGGGAUAGAAGGAUGAUUAGAAUCCACAGACAACCCAUUGGCCUUUGUUUACCAUUAACUUCUGUUUUCUCCACCAGCCAAGCUCCUCCAGACCCAGGAGAUGGCUCUUCCCUCUGUGUAGCACACUCUUUCCAGUCAAGGGGUCUUGCACUGCUAUUUCCCCUUCUGCUUUGCUUGGUUCAUUCUUACUGACCCUCCAAAUACUGAAGGAAUGAAUGGAGAAAUAAGUAAAUGAGAGAUGUGGCCAAGAGUCUCCAAGAGAGGAAAUUAAAAAAUCCUAUACCUGUGAGGAACUGGCCCACUUGCAAAAGGCGGACUCAUUUGUCACUGUGUUUGCUGGCUGCUCGCACCACACAGUUUCCAGCCUAGGCAUUAUUUCCAACCUCUUUUUCCAAAGGGUCUUUCUAAGGUACAGAAAAUGGACAUAAAAUCGCCCAACGUAGUUGAGAGGUAAGGAGUAAAAGCCGGAAUUUGAACUCCUAAUCUCCUGCCACGAUUUCAUGCUGCCUCUGGGUAAUCUCCCAGCACGUUGCUUAAUCAGCUGCUGAGUCAUUGAGAGCCGGCAGAACCAGCUUCCUGCUGAGGCAGAGUGGGAGGAGGCCCGUCUGGGAGCAGCACACUGAAGGAAGGGAGGAGGAGGUGAUGUUUGGCACAAUCGGAUUGGUUCCCAUGAGGUCCAGGGCUGCGGCUCCUACAGAAGGCACUUUUUGCAUAUGGUAGGCUUCACGGGGUGCAACCUCUGUGUUGUUAGGAGAACCUCGUGCUUGCUAUGAUGCUCUGCUGUCAUUAUCUUGAAAUUCUUAGUCACAUUAAAACACGGGAGCCUACAUGUUUAUUUUGCACUGGAUCCUGCAAAUUAGCCAGUCCUGGUACUGAGGGCAGGUCCCUGGGUGAGUCUCACACAGCCUCCAUCCUUUGGUAAAGCAGCUUUCCUGAUUUAGCAAAUGCCUUACCAGAAAGCCUUUUCCUUGAAGAUGCUUUAACUUUUGUCUUCCCUGGCAAAGCUGUUUCCUUAUGGUAAAGCACCCAGCUCAUAGCUGAUAUUCAAUCCAUGAAGUAGCUCUGUCAGCAGCUGUCAUCAUGAAGACUUUGCAGCCUGCGGGUGGUAGCAUUCUGAAUCGUCAGUCUGUCUCGCUCCUGUAGCAAAUGCACGAUCCGGGAAAGCAUGUCCCAAGCUUUGUUCUGGAGAAGAUUUCUCCAGCUAUCAGAUGGUGUCUGUCAUCACAAUAGCUUAGGAGAUGCUGCUCACUCCAUCCUCCUCACUAAGUGUCACAGUACACUUGGGUAUGUACAAGUCUCUGAGAAGUCCAGCAGCAAAGACACCUUUGUGUUUUGCUGAUUCUAGCCUUUCCUAGACUAGAAGUCUUUUUUUCUAGUCUAGGAAAAGACUGUGGAAUCUUUUCUUUUUUUUCCUGAUACACACAUUCACAUUCCGUGGAACAUUUAGGACGUGGUUAUCUGGUCCUAAAGUAGUAAAGGUGAAGAUGUUGUGGGAGGUGCAAGAAAGAGCAGCAAGGAGUAGAUGGGGCACACUGCAAAGUGCGAUCCCCACAUACCUAAGUUAGUAUCAAUUACUACUAACAAAACUCGGCCAAGACUCUUUUGCAUUCGUUUUGUUUCUCUCUUUUACCCUGAUUAUAUUAAGAAAUAUGACAGGCCUGUGACUCACUGAUUAGACCAUCUUAGUCACUUUGGGUUGUCCCAGCAACAGGAGACUUAACUCUGACCAUAGGUAAGGAGCCCAGAGGACAGGAGAGCAGGGAUUUCUGAGGAUUUAACAAAUGCUUAUAAACAAAUGAUAUCACUUUGAACAAAGUAAUCAAAGUAUCAAAUGCUAUAAACACCACAGUAGGGCAAUGUGUGAAUCAUACUUGUGGUGAGACAUACAUAGAUCAGCUGCAAAGAGGAACUCAAUUCUGCAGAACCUCAGCUGGAGUAACUGAUGUGAAACAUGGACAGGGAAAUGGAAGGAAGUCAGCGGACACGGAAACUCUAGGAACUGAACUUUGACAAGGAACGCCGUCCAUAAUCCCAAGUCCUAUGACUUCAUAGAGGAAAAAAACCCUAGUGGAGCAGAACAGGGCCUCAUAGAGGGGCUGGGGCCUCACUGAGGGCUGGGAAGUUUGAUAGGACUUCCCUUGCUGGUAAGGAACAAAACUGGGUCUCAGGUUCAGGUUUGUAAAGCUAAUUUCAUACAUUUGCAGCAGAUGCUGUCAGUGUCCCUCCCCAAGCCCCUCAGCACUCAGCAUUCAUAGACAUCCUCAUCUUGCAAGCACCUGAGUCUCUCUCUGUAAGGUUUCUGUUGGCCUCAGGGCAGACCAGGGUACCAGGGAGGGCAGACCAGGGUACCAGGGAGCACAGCCCUCAAAGAAAGAUGACAGGAGUUGGUGUAAAUCUCAUGGCUUUCAUGUUACUUAGGGGGACCAAUGCUGAGGCAUGCUUAGCAUGAUCCUCUGUGAGACUGGGCCUCAGGUGUCCGCUGCAGCCGCCUGUUCAUUAGUGUGACAUGCACGGGAUUCCUUCCGUAUCCUGGCCCCUUUCUCUACUUCCCAACCGUGCUUCCUGAGACAUACUCAAAUCCUUGUCUCACACUUGGCUUCUGGGAGAAUCCAACUGCAAAUGCUGUGUUUUAUUUUUUAUUUAUGUAUUUAAUUAUUUGGAGAUAGGGUCUCCCUCUGUCACCCAGGCUGGAGUAAAAUGGCACAAUCCUAGCUCACUGCAAUAUUAAACUCCUGGGCUCCAGUAAUCCUCAGCCUCCAGGAGCUGGAACUACAGUCGUGCACAGCAAUGCCAGCUAAAGUUUCCUUUAAAUUUUUUGUAGAGUCAAGAUCUCACUAUUUCAGUCAGGUCUUGAACUCCUUGCCUCCCAAAGUUCUGGGAUUACAGCACUUGGCCUCCCAAAGUGCUGGGAUUACAGGCGUGAGCCACUGCAUCUGGCUGUUUAUUCCAUUAAAAUGAUUGAAGGAGUCUCUUGCUUUGGGAAUUUUGCUCCCGUGGUGAGAACACUAUGGGAAUGACAUCUCAAGAAUAUGGCUCCUUCAAAUGAAUUUAAAAUGGUCUUUCUAUUUUUGUCCAGUGGUUACAAUAGCUGAUGGGCUCGAGGUAAGGAGAUGCUAAGCUGCCAUUCUCUCCUUCAACCCAUGGCAUUUACUGAGCUUCUAAAUCAGUCAGGCCCUGGGCUGGACCCUGGGCAUGCAGACUGAAUCAGAGCCUUCAGGACUAGCAGGAGAGACAGGUAUAUAUAGUGGCAAGGGCAAUAUUUAUUCACUCAUUCAUUCUUUUUCCUUUUUUAUGUGCCAAAUCUUUAAUGAGGGCCUACCUUGUACUCAGGAACACCAGGAAUAAACAGAAAACAAAAAGAUAUCAUUUCUGGACUCAGUUCACCAUCUAGAGAAAAAAAAAAAAAAAAAAAAAGACCUGAAAUGGACAAAUACAGUACUGUUUGACAAAUGUCACGUAAGAAGAAGCCCAUGAUACUGAGGAUGGUAUAGGAGGGGCCGUAUCCAGGUUGAAGGAGUCAAAUAUGACAGCUGCCGUGAGAAUUACAAUCAGAAAACCAUGACCCGGAUGCUUAUCCUAUUCAUUGCUUGAGCCUGAGAACACAAACACACAGGGUGUGGCUGAAAUUCCUCUGAAAUUGUAUUGAUUUGAGAAAACUGCAAUCUUGUGUUAAAAUGUGAAUCAUACACAAGGAUGCAAAACAGUUACCGCUGACCAUAAAUCUAGGCUAUCAGAAUGGAAUCUGAUGGCUUGUCUACCAGACUGCAUUGUGAAACCAAUCAAAUGGGAGAUAGACUCACCACUUACCAAGUACCUCUGAGACACCAGGCACCCUGUGGGGUGCCCUACUCAUCAUCUUGUUUAACCAGUUGAUUGGGAAUAGCUCCAUUUUACAGAGAAAGACUGUUAGGCAGCUUUCUAAGAUGGCCCUAAUUAUUCCUUCCUUCUGGUAAUCCCCUUCCUUUAAAUGUGGGCUACACUUAAUUACCUGCUUUUAACAAACAGAAUAUAGCAAAAGUGAUGGGAUGUCAGGAGACUGAAUCAGUAACCAAAAACCUCCAGACAAAGAAAAGCCCAGGGCCAGAGGGCUUCACUGGUAAAUUUACCAAACAUUUAAAGAAGAAUUAGCACCAGUCUUUCUCAAACUCCUCAACAAAUUGAAGAGGAGAGAACACUUCUAAAUACACUUUAUGAGGCCAGCAUUACCCUAACAUCAGAGCCAGACAAAGACACAAGAAAAGAAAACUACAGACUAAUAUUUCUAAUGAAUCUUGAUGCACAAAUCCUCAAAAAAGAAGAAAACAUACUAGCAAACAUAAUUCAGCCGCACAUUAAAAGGAUUAAGCACCAUGACAAAGUGGGAUUUAUUCUUAGUAUAAAAGGAUAUUUCAACGUAAAAAAGUCAAUGUAAUAUAUCACAUUAAUAGAAUGAUGAGAAAAAAUCCACAAGAUUAUCCCAAUUGAUGCAUUUAACAAAACUUAAUACUCUUUCAUGAAAAAACACUCAACAAACCAGGAAUACAUGAAACUACCCCAACAUAAGACAGUCCACAAAUGAAAAGCUCACAACCAACAUAAUACUCAUGGUGAAAAGCUGAAAGCUUCCUCUAAGAUCAGGAAUGAGACAAAAAUGUCCACUUUUGAAUCAACCUGUAUUCAACAUAGUAUAAGAAGUCCUCGCCAGAAUUUUCAGGAAAAAAAAAAAAGAAAGAAAAAAAAGCCAGUCAAAUUGAAAAGAAAGAAGAAAAAUUAUCUUUGCUCACAAAUGACAUGAACUUAUAAAACUCCUAGAAUUAAUAAAUGGAUGCUGCAAUGUUGAAGGAUACAAAAAUCAACACACAAAAAUCAGUUAUGUUUUUAUAUACUAACAAUGAAUGAGCCAAAAAUGAAAUUAAAACAAUUCCAUUUACAAUAGCAUCAGAAAGACUAAAAUACCUAACAAUAAACUUAACCAAGGAGGUAAAAUGCUUGAGUAUUUAGACACUAAAAAUUAUAAGGCCUGCACGGUGGUUCAUACCUGUAAUCCCAGCAUUUUGGGAGGCAGGUGGAUCACUUGAGGUUAGGAGUUUGAGACCAGCCUGGCC
rnacentral:lncRNA from 10 species